GGGUGCGUAGCUCAGUCGGUAGAGCAGCUGACUCUUAAUCAGCGGGUCGUAGGUUCGAUCCCUACCGCACCCACCA
rnacentral:tRNA from 1 species